GACGAACGCUGGCGGCGUGCUUAACACAUGCAAGUCGAACGGAAAGGCCCUGCUUUUGUGGGGUGCUCGAGUGGCGAACGGGUGAGUAACACGUGAGUAACCUGCCCUUGACUUUGGGAUAACUUCAGGAAACUGGGGCUAAUACCGGAUAGGAGCUCCUGCUGCAUGGUGGGGGUUGGAAAGUUUCGGCGGUUGGGGAUGGACUCGCGGCUUAUCAGCUUGUUGGUGGGGUAGUGGCUUACCAAGCCUUUGCUGGGUAGCCGGCCUGAGAGGGUGACCGGCCCCAUUGGGACUGAGAUACGGCCCAGACUCCUACGGGAGGCAGCAGUGGGGAAUAUUGCACAAUGGGCGGAAGCCUGAUGCAGCAACGCCGCGUGCGGGAUGACUGCCUUCGGGCUGUAAACCGCUUGCGCCUGUGACGAAGCGUGAGUGACGGUAAUGGGUAAAGAAGCACCGGCUAACUACGUG
rnacentral:rRNA from 1 species